rnacentral:tRNA from 1 species
GGGGCGUAGCUCAGUUGGUAGAGCAGCGGACUCUUAAUCCGUAGGUCGAGUGUUCGAGUCACUCACGCCCCACCA